CUACGUGCCAGCAGCCGCGGUAAUACGUAGGGUGCGAGCGUUAAUCGGAAUUACUGGGCGUAAAGCGAGCGCAGACGGUUACUUAAGCAGGAUGUGAAAUCCCCGGGCUUAACCUGGGAACUGCGUUCUGAACUGGGUGGCUAGAGUAUGUCAGAGGGGGGUAGAAUUCCACGUGUAGCAGUGAAAUGCGUAGAGAUGUGGAGGAAUACCGAUGGCGAAGGCAGCCCCCUGGGAUAAUACUGACGUUCAUGCUCGAAAGCGUGGGUAGCAAACAGGAUUAGAUACCCUGGUAGUCCACGCCCUAAACGAUGUCGAUUAGCUGUUGGGCAGCUUGACUGCUUAGUAGCGUAGCUAACGCGUGAAAUCGACCGCCUGGGGAGUACGGUCGCAAGAUUAAAACUCAAAGGAAUUGACGGGGACCCGCACAAGCGGUGGAUGAUGUGGAUUAAUUCGAUGCAACGCGAAGAACCUUACCUGGUCUUGACAU
rnacentral:rRNA from 1 species